CUGACUUAGCUUGCCUUCUUGCUCUUGCUACUUCCUCUUUCCUGCUUCCUGGAACACAAACAAGAGAGUAAAGGCUGCAGCAGCCAUCUUUGACCAUGAGGUGACCUUAAGGAAGGAAGCCAUAUUCUGGGGAUGGCGAAGCAGAAAGGAGGAAGUCUCGGGGUGUUCCCUCCAUGGCCGGUCCUCAGCCUGCAACUGUGGCUGCAAGGUGCUGCUGGUUACCAGAACAUUCCAUGAGAGCAGAGACCAUGUCGGCCUGCUGCCCUGUUCAUCUCUCCAUCUCCAGCGCCUAGAACAGUGCCUGGCACACAGUAGGUGCUUGGUAAAUACCUUCGGCCAGAACGUCCUUCCAGAGGUGAGGUACUCACUCUCUGAUAUCUUACGACUUGAAAGAAACAUUUAUUUCUGUUGAGGAAAGUACUGUGUCUGCUAUGAAGAAAACUUCAAAAAAUAUGAAGAAGAGACAAUUACCUGGGGUGGGUUCUCCCAGACGUGGAACCUGAAACAAGGAUGAGACGGCAAGUAGUUGACUUGGGAGGUGACCCCGGGACAGGGAAGCGAGGUGAGGAAGGCCAGGAGAUAAUUUGGGUAUGUUAAUGAGCAGGUUAUUCGCUGUGGGCAACUGGGGUUCAGUCCCACUGGGGACCUCCAGGACUGAGGAAGCUGGGGCCCUGUCCAUCACUGGUUGAGGUUUGGUUGCCCCAGGGGCGUGUGCAUGCCAUGGAGAUACAGGCGAGCACCAACGGGGUCUGCCGUGCAACAGGUCUGUCCGGUAUACAACCUUAUUGUCUUCUCUAGGAACUGCCUGCCCACCACCCCAUCCGCGGGUCACCAAGAGGAACCCCUAGAAGCCUUGUUUUGGGGACCACCACCAGCCCACCCAUUUCCAGCCUAUGUGCAAACUAGGACAAAGUUCCUCAAAUUAUUUUUUUCAUUGAGACGUAAUUCACACGCCAUUUAAUCCACCGUUUUAGGGGCCGGCCCGGUGGCAUAGUAUGUGCGUUCUGAUUCAGCAGACCGGGGUUUGCAGGUUCAGAUCCCAGGCGUGAACCUACACACCACUUAUCAAGCCAUGUUCUGGCAGCA